rnacentral:rRNA from 1 species
GACGAACGCUGGCGGCGUGCCUAACACAUGCAAGUCGAACGGAAAGACCCUGCGUUUGUGCGGUUCUCGAGUGGCGAACGCGGGAGUAACACGUGAGUAACCUGACCUUGUCUUUGGGAUAACUUAACGAAACUGGGGCUAAUAUAGGAUAGGAGAUCCUGCUGCGUGGAGGGCAUUGGAACGUUUCAGCUGUUGGGGAUGGACUGGCGGCUUAUCAGCUUGCUGGUGGGGUAGUGGCUUACCCAGGAAUUGACUGGUAGCCAGCCUGAGAGGGUGACCGGCGACAUUGGGACUGAGGGACGGCCCAGACGGGUACGGUGGGCAGCAGGGGGGAACAUUGCACAACGAUCGGACGUGGGAUGCAGAAGCGCUGCGGGUGGGAUGACGUCCUGUUGGGUGUAAACCGCUUUCGCCUGUGACGAAGCGGGAGUGACGGUAAUGGGUAAAGAAGCACCGGCUAACUACGUG